GAUGAACGCUGGCGGCGUGCCUAAUACAUGCAAGUCGAGCGAACGGACGAGAGGCUUGCUUCUCUGGUGUUAGCGGCGGACGGGUGAGUAACACGUGGAUAACCUACCUAUAAGACUGGGAUAACUUCGGGAAACCGGAGCUAAUACCGGAUAAUAUUUUGAACCGCAUGGUUCAAAAGUGAAAGACGGUCUUGCUGUCACUUAUAGAUGGAUCCGCGCUGCAUUAGCUAGUUGGUAAGGUAACGGCUUACCAAGGCAACGAUGCAUAGCCGACCUGAGAGGGUGAUCGGCCACACUGGAACUGAGACACGGUCCAGACUCCUACGGGAGGCAGCAGUAGGGAAUCUUCCGCAAUGGGCGAAAGCCUGACGGAGCAACGCCGCGUGAGUGAUGAAGGUCUUCGGAUCGUAAAACUCUGUUAUUAGGGAAGAACAUAUGUGUAAGUAACUGUGCACAUCUUGACGGUACCUAAUCAGAAAGCCACGGCUAACUACGUG
rnacentral:rRNA from 1 species